UACGUAGGGGCCGAGCGUUGUCCGGAGUUAUUGGGCGUAAAGCGCGCGCAGGCGGCUUCGCGCGCCCGACGUGAAAGCCCCCGGCUUAACCGGGGAGAGUCGUUGGGGACGGCGGGGCUUGAGGGCGGGAGAGGUCGGUGGAAUUCCCGGUGUAGUGGUGAAAUGCGUAGAGAUCGGGAGGAACACCUGUGGCGAAGGCGGCCGACUGGGCCGACCCUGACGCUGAGGCGCGAAGGCGUAGGGAGCGAACGGG
rnacentral:rRNA from 1 species